rnacentral:rRNA from 1 species
UCAGAACGAACGCUGGCGGCACGCUAACACAUGCAAGUCGGACGGGGUAGUGGGAGCUUGCUCUUAUACUUAGUGGCGGACGGGUGAGUAACACGUGGGAACAUGUCCUGUAGUGGUGGAUAGCUCCGGGAAACUGGAGGUAAUACAGCAUAAGCUCGAGAGAGGAAAGAGAGAUCGCUAUAGGGGUGGCCCGCGGCUGAUUAGGUAGUUGGUGGGGUAAAGGCCUACCAAGCCGAGGAUCAGUAGCUGGUCUGAGAGGAUGGACAGCCACACUGAAACUGAGACACGGUUCAGACUCCUACGGGAGGCAGCAGUGGGGAAUAUUGGACAAUGGGGGCAACCCUGAUCCAGCGAUGCCGCGUGAGUGAAGAAGGUCUUAGGAUUGUAAAGCUCUUUUGACAGGGAAGAUGAUGACGGUACCUGUAGAAUAAGCACCGGCUAACUCUGUGCCAGCAGCCGC